CCUACGGGUGGCAGCAGUGAGGAAUAUUGGUCAAUGGGCGCGAGCCUGAACCAGCCAAGUCGCGUGAAGGUUGACUGCCCUACGGGUUGUAAACUUCUUUUAUAAAGGAAUAAAGUGCGGCACGUGUGCCUUUUUGUAUGUACUUUAUGAAUAAGGAUCGGCUAACUCCGUGCCAGCAGCCGCGGUAAUACGGAGGAUCCGAGCGUUAUCCGUAUUUAUUUGGUUUAAAGGGAGCGUAGAUGGGUUGUUAAAUCAGUUGUGAAAGUUUGCGGCUCAACCGUAAAAUUGCAAUUGAUACUGGCAGUCUUGAGGACAGUUGAGGUAGGCGGAAUUCGUGGUGUAGCGGUGAAAUGCUUAGAUAUCACGAAGAACUCCGAUUGCGAAGGCAGCUUACUAAACUGCCACUGACAUUGAUGCUCGAAAGUGUGGGUAUCAAACAGGAUUAGAUACCCCUGUAGUC
rnacentral:rRNA from 1 species